ACGUAGGGGGCAAGCGUUGUCCGGAUUUAUUGGGCGUAAAGAGCGUGUAGGCGGCUUCACAGGUCCGCUGUGAAAACUCGAGGCUCAACCUCGAGCUGUCGGUGGAAACCGUGUAGCUAGAGUCCGGAAGAGGAGAGUGGAAUUCCCGGUGUAGCGGUGAAAUGCGCAGAUAUCGGGAAGAACACCCGUGGCGAAGGCGGCUCUCUGGGACGGUACUGACGCUGAGACGCGAAAGCGUGGGGAGCGAACAGGAUUAGAUACCCUGGUAGUCCACGCCGUAAACGAUGGGUGCUAGGUGUGGGGGGUGUCGACUCCCUCCGUGCCGAAGCUAACGCAUUAAGCACCCCGCCUGGGGAGUACGGCCGCAAGGCUA
rnacentral:rRNA from 1 species